GACCAGAGGAUGCUGACCACGAGAGACAGACCUAUUCCUAACAUCAGUGAACUUCAGCAUGGACUCAAAGGAAAGGACAUACCUGAAGGUCACAACUGCCUCACCGUUUUCUCAGAGGGGCAAGAAGAAAAUGAAAAGCUGAUUUCAGAUUAAAGACUAAUACAGGACAUUCA